rnacentral:rRNA from 1 species
UACGGGGGGGGUAAGCGUUGUUCGGAAUUACUGGGCGUAAAGGGCUCGUAGGCGGCCAACUAAGUCAGACGUGAAAUCCCUCAGCUUAACUGGGGAACUGCGUCUGAUACUGGAUGGCUUGGAUUCGGGAGAGGAAUGCGGAAUUCCAGGUGUAGCGGUGAAAUGCGUAGAUAUCAGAAGGAACGCCGGUGGCGAAAGCGACGCACUGGAUCUCUACUGACGCUGAGGCGCGAAAGCUAGGGGAGCGAACGGG